GACGGGGGCCCGCACAAGCGGAGGAACAUGUGGUUUAAUUCGAUGAUACGCGAGGAACCUUACCCGGGCUUGAACUGCAGGGGAACGAUAGAGAGAUCUUGAGGUCAGCAAUGACCCCUGUGGAGGUGCUGCAUGGUUGUCGUCAGCUCGUGCCGUGAGGUGUCGGCUUAAGUGCCAUAACGAGCGCAACCCUUGUCUGUAGUUGCCAUCAGGUGAUGCUGGGCACUCUGCGGAUACUGCCACCGUAAGGUGUGAGGAAGGUGGGGAUGACGUCAAAUCAGCACGGCCCUUACGUCCGGGGCUACACACGUGUUACAAUGGGGUGUACAGAGAGUCGGUGCAUGGCAAUAUGCAUCCAAUCCUUAAAGCACUCCUCAGUUCGGAUUGGGGUCUGCAACCCGACCCCAUGAAGCUGGAUUCGCUAGUAAUCGCGCAUCAGCCAUGGCGCGGUGAAUACGUUCCCGGGCCUUGUACACACCGCCCGUCAAGCCAUGAAAGCCGGGGGCGCCUGAAGUCCGUGACCGCGAGGGUCGGCCUAGGGUGAAACCGGUGAUUGGGGCUAAGUCGUAACAAGGUAGGCGUACCGGAA
rnacentral:rRNA from 1 species